rnacentral:rRNA from 1 species
UACGUAGGGGGCAAGCGUUGUCCGGAAUCAUUGGGCGUAAAGAGCGUGUAGGCGGCCCGAUAAGUCCGCUGUGAAAGUCCAGGGCUCAACCCUGGAACGCCGGUGGAUACUGUCGGGCUCGAAUCCGGAAGAGGUGAGUGGAAUUCCUGGUGUAGCGGUGAAAUGCGCAGAUAUCAGGAGGAACACCAAUGGCGAAGGCAGCUCACUGGGACGGUAUUGACGCUGAGACGCGAAAGCGUGGGGAGCAAACAGG